AAUUUCUCAAGCUUGGAUGGCCUUUUUUGUGUCUGUCCUUAGCCUUGGUUGUUGGGCUUUGCCGUGUCCUUUAUUGGGACGGCUGGCCUUAAAAGCAUUAGCUGAUCCUUGUGUGGCACUGGUUCUACUCAGCGUGAUAAUAGUCUGAUCGCUGAGGACAUCUUUUGGGAUGGCCAGUCCUCAUUUGGGUUGCUUAUAGACCUGGUCUUGCAGAUUGUUCAAUCUGUGUUUCCACUUUUCAG
rnacentral:misc_RNA from 1 species